rnacentral:misc_RNA from 1 species
CAGCACAACCAGCUCGAGUAAUUUACUGCUAGCUGGGGGCAGAAAGUUAAUGAACAUUGAAGCAGGCAGUGCGAAAAACUUGGCAAGUAUACAUGUGGAUGGAAGUAACAAUCUCACUAUGUCUAGAACUCCACAUGUGGCUGGAAGCAACAACCUCACUCUGUCUAAAACUCCACAUGUGGCUGGUAGCAGCAGCAGAAUAAAUGCUGCGGAAAAGCACAGGAAAACAAAUUCUGGGGCAUCCUUAAUCAUAAAGUUGGAUGACAAUGAUUUAGGAGAGGCAUCUUCUGCAACAGGAGCAUCAUUAACACAAAAGUUUAUUGCUGAUUUUGAAGGUUGGGCAUGUGAUUCAUGCACAUUUCUGAAUGCUGACUCUACCACAACAUGCCUGAUGUGCAGUGAAGAUGCUUCUGGCAGUUGGGAAUGCGAGAAGUGUACGUUUCUCAAUAAGAAGCAUGCUUCCACAUGCCAAAUAUGUGAGCACCGUAAAUGAAGUCCUUGCACCUAAAAAUAAAUAGCUGCCCGGGGGAUACGCUCGGCCACAAUUUAGCUUUUGCAUUAUUCUACCUUACCGUUUUAUCAGUCUUAUGUUCUGCUUUUGGUCAAUAGUUACCUAAAACUUUCUUAUUGCAUCAGUUGGAUGCGUAGGCUUUGGGAGUAGUAUAGUUAUACAUAUAAAUGAAGUUCUUGGUAAUUGUAGUGAUACACUUUCUCCAGGUACACAGCAGCUUGAGCUUUAUGUUAUUACUUACUAGUAAUUGUCAGUGUUUAUUGUGAAGCCUCGGAACUGGUACUUUG